rnacentral:rRNA from 1 species
GAAACUGCGAACGGCUCAUUAAAUCAGUUGCGAUCUACUCGGCGUUCCGCGCCGCCGGAUAACCGUAGUAAUUCUAGGGCUAAUACGUGCGAAGCGCCCGAAGCCGCGAGGCGACGGGCGUUCUCGCCGGAUGUAGGAACCGACCCGGGGACCGCCGGGGCAACCCGGCGCCCCCGAGACGGGGCGAACCACGGUGAAAUGACGGAUCGUCGGCCCCGCGCCGGCGACUCGCCGAAUGAGUUUCUGACCUAUCAACUCGAGACGGCGGGGUAGAGGCCCCGCCGCGGUAACGACGGGUAACGGGGAAUCAGGGUUCGAUUCCGGAGAGGGAGCCCGAGAAACGGCUACCACUUCCAAGGAAGGCAGCAGGCGCGCAACUUACCCUAAUCUCGAUUCGAGGAGGUAGUGACAAGAAUACCGAUGCGGGACCCUACGGGUGCCGCGUUCGGAAUGAGUACGAUUCGAACCACCUAACGAGGAACGAUCGGAGGGCAAGUCUGGUGCCAGCAGCCGCGGUAAUUCCAGCUCCAAUAGCGUACGUUAAAGUUGCUGCAGUUAAAAGCUACGUAGUUGAACGUUCGGGUU